rnacentral:pre_miRNA from 1 species
AAAGGAGGCAUCCAAAGGGAUCGCAUUGAUCCGAAAUCUUGCAUAUAUAUAGCAUGUGUGCAUAUUUAAACCGAGUUGGGAUCAUGCUAUCCUUUUGGAUUCAUUCUU